GAUGAACGCUGGCGGCGUGCCUAAUACAUGCAAGUCGAGCGAACAGACGAGGAGCUUGCUCCUCUGACGUUAGCGGCGGACGGGUGAGUAACACGUGGAUAACCUACCUAUAAGACUGGGAUAACUUCGGGAAACCGGAGCUAAUACCGGAUAAUAUAUUGAACCGCAUGGUUCAAUAGUGAAAGACGGUUUUGCUGUCACUUAUAGAUGGAUCCGCGCCGCAUUAGCUAGUUGGUAAGGUAACGGCUUAUCAAGGCGACGAUGCGUAGCCGACCUGAGAGAGUGAUCGGCCACACUGGAACUGGGACGCGGUCAAGACGCCUACGGGAGGCAGCAGUAGGGAAUCUUCCGCAAAGGGCGAAAGCCUGACGGAGCAACGCCGCGUGAGUGAUGAAGGUCUUCGGAUCGUAAAACUCUGUUAUUAGGGAAGAACAAAUGUGUAAGUAACUAUGCACGUCUUGACGGUACCUAAUCAGAAAGCCACGGCUAACUACGUG
rnacentral:rRNA from 1 species